ensembl:snRNA U6 U6 spliceosomal RNA
GUGCUCACUUCAGCAGCACAUGUAUACUAAAAUUGGAACAAUACAGAGAUUAGCAUGGCAACUUCACAAGGAUGACAUGCGAAUUUUUGAAGCAUUCCAUAUUUUU